UGUGUGUUAUUAGGCGUAUUAGUAUAUAUCAUACAUAUAUACAUAUAUUGUGAUACAAUAGCAUAAGA
rnacentral:tRNA from 1 species